AUUACCGAUUCAUUUCCAAUGAACGAACGAACCCGUGUGAACAGUUGCCAAACAUUUAGGGGUCGUCGCCAGACGUUAAAUGAUCGUUGAUUCGGUCAGCCCCGCCAUGGUUUUUCGCAAACACUUGACGACAGUCUGAAACAUGAGAAACGAAAAAGAGAGACAACUUUUAACGGUGGAUCUCUUGGCUCACGUAUCGAUGAAGAACGCAGCCAGCUGCGAUAAGUAGUGUGAAUUGCAGAAUUCAGUGAAUCAUCGAAUCUUUGAACGCAAAUGGCGCUCUUGGGUUCUCCCAGGAGCAUGUCUGUCUGAGUGUCGGAUAUCAACGAACGCACCCGUCGGUGCGGAAUUGAGGCUUGUCGCGGCGAUCCCCGCCGCGUCCCUCGAAGGCCAGCGAGACUCGCACAGCGCGGUUUCCCCGCCACUCCGUGCGAAGGCUAAAAUAUUCUUGGCCCUUCGUCGAAGUGCGCGGACCCGCCAACGCGCCAGUCUCGACAGACGCAAGACGCAAUCAAUCUUGACCUCAGAUCAGGCAAGGCUACCCGCUGAAUUUAAGCAUAUUAAUAA
rnacentral:rRNA from 1 species